rnacentral:misc_RNA from 1 species
UUGGUUAGAGCGCGCGCUUGAUAAGCGUGAGGUCGGAAGUUCAAGUCUUCCCAGGCCCACCACGCUUCGCCGUCGGCUUCGCAUGGCACCGCCAGGCAGAACGACGAGGCGAAGCGCGUCCGGCAUAGCCCGAAGGGCGACGCCGGACAGAAAGAGCGCUUCGUCUUCUGGUUACGGGGCCAUAGCUCAGCUGGGAGAGCGCGUGCUUUGCAAGCAUGAGGUCGUCGGUUCGAUCCCGUCUGGCUCCACCAGAUGGUUUGAUCACCGAGAUCUUGACCGUCGUCCGCGAAACAUCACUUCGCAUCUUGCUAGUCUGGAUAGACAGCAAGUUGCGUGUUUUCUGACAUCGUAAAGAGGAGAUCGAUCCGAGUUGGAUCGUGCAACAUAUCGUUGCGCGAGCCUUCAUUAUCUCCGGAUCAUUUCGGCGCUCGCUUCCAGCCGUGAGGUUGGAUGCGGGUUGUAAAUGAUCCUUUUAGCGAAGCUUGACCGCCUCGCUAUCGGAACGAUCUUACGAAGCAAGCUGGUCUUUCUAGUCAAUGUCCGGCUGUGAGAAUAGCGUUCGUCGAGGGCGCGUGCCGCAAGGCAGUUCUUACAGACAACAUUCUGCCGAGUGUGUGGACAUUGAUAAUGAGAGCAAUCAAGUGCCUUAAGGGUGUUCGGUGGAUGCCUUGGCGCUGAGAGGCGAUGAAGGACGUGCUACGCUGCGAUAAG